UGGUACCCGGCGGGGGGCUAGCAUAUCAAUAAGCGGAGGAAAAGACCAACAGGGAUUGCCCUAGUAACGGCGAGUGAAGCGGCAACAGCUCAAAUUUGAAAUCUGGCUCUUUCAGGGUCCGAGUUGUAAUUUGCAGAGGGUGCUUUGGUGUUGGCGGCGGUCUAAGUUCCUUGGAACAGGACAUCGCAGAGGGUGAGAAUCCCGUAUGUGGUCGCCUGCCUUCGCCGUGUAAAGCCCCUUCGACGAGUCGAGUUGUUUGGGAAUGCAGCUCUAAAUGGGAGGUAAAUUUCUUCUAAAGCUAAAUACCGGCCAGAGACCGAUAGCGCACAAGUAGAGUGAUCGAAAGAUGAAAAGCACUUUGGAAAGAGAGUCAAACAGCACGUGAAAUUGUUAAAAGGGAAGCGCUUGCAGCCAGACUUGCCUGUAGUUGCUCGCCUGGGCUUUUGCCCGGGUUACUCUUCUGCAGGCAGGCCAGCAUCAGUUUGGGCGGUCGGAUAAAGGUCCCUGACACGUAUCUCCCUUCGGGGUUAACAUAUAGGGGGGACGUAAUGCGACCAGCCUGGACUGAGGUCCGCGCAUCUGCUAGGAUGCUGGCGUAAUGGCUGUAAGCGGCCCGUCUUGAAACACGGACCAAGGAGUCUAACAUCUAUGCGAGUGUUUGGGUGUCAAGCCCGAGCGCGUAAUGAAAGUGAACGGAGGUGGGAACCCCUCGGGGCGCACCAUCGACCGAUCCUGAUGUCUUCGGAUGGAUUUGAGUAAGAGCAUAGCUGUUGGGACCCGAAAGAUGGUGAACUAUGCUUGAAUAGGGUGAAGCCAGAGGAAACUCUGGUGGAGGCUCGCAGCGGUUCUGACGUGCAAAUCGAUCGUCAAAUUUGGGCAUAGGGGCGAAAGACUAAUCGAACUAUCUAGUAGCUGGUUCCUGCAGAAGUCCCCUCCCCGAAAGUAAA
rnacentral:rRNA from 1 species